rnacentral:rRNA from 2 species
CGGAGGAUAAGAAACUAACAAGGAUUCCCUCAGUAGCGGCGAGCGAAGCGGGAAGAGCUCAACAUGAAAACCAGAGGGGGCUUUCGCCGACCUCUGGGUUGUAUAGUAAAGUGGUGUCGCCUGCGUCGCGCCGGGUAUAAAUCCCGUUUGGAAUGGGGUGUCGUAGAGGGUGAUAACCCCGUCUGUGACCCGGUCGUUGAUGCGUUACGGUGACCUUACGAUGAGUCGGGUUGCUUGGGCAUGCAGCCCAAAGUGGGUGGUAAACUUCAUCUAAAGCUAAAUACCAGCGAGAGACCGAUAGCGUACAAGUACCGUAAGGGAAAGAUGCAAAGAACUUUGAAAAGAGAGUCAAACAGGGCUUGAAACCGUUAAGAGUGAAGCGAAGGAGGUCAGUGAUCAUGGGGCCAGAUCCCCAAGUGCCUUAUUCAAUGGGGCACCGUAGCGUUCUGGUUUUUUCCCGGGGCAGCGCCGGCUGGGGGUUUGCGUCAACGGGGAGGUGGUUGAGGGAUUUAUUUCCCACCUCUUACUCCCUUCUAGCUUUCUUCCCUGGCCGAGGGAUCCGCGACUUGUCGUGUGAGGGCGCUGUCAAAAUGGCCUUCUCCACCCCGUCUUGAAACACGGACCAAGGAGUCUAACAUACUCGCGAGUGUUUGGGUGGUUAAAACCCGAACGCACAAUGAAAGUAAACGGUGGCUCUGCGCUGCUGCUUGGUGGGAACCCUUCUCGCAUAAAGGGGGGCACCAUCACCCGACCCCGAUCCCCUAGGGGUGGUUGGUUUUGAGGCAGAGCGAGUAUGAUGGGACCCGAAAGAUGGUGAACUAUUCCUGAGUAGGGCGAAGCCAGAGGAAACUCUGGUGGAGGCUCGUAGCGAUGCUGACGUGCAAAUCGCUCGUCGAACUUGGGUAUAGGGGCGAAAGACUAAUCGAACCAUCUAGUAGCU